ACAUCCAGAGAAUUUAGCAGAGAUGCUUUAGUGCCUUCGGGAACUCUGAGACAGGUGCUGCAUGGCUGUCGUCAGCUCGUGUUGUGAAAUGUUGGGUUAAGUCCCGNAACGAGCGCAACCCUUAUCCUUUGUUGCCAGCACGUAAUGGUGGGAACUCAAAGGAGACUGCCGGUGAUAAACCGAAGGAAGGUGGGGAUGACGUCAAGUCAUCAUGGCCCUUACGAGUAGGGCUACACACGUGCUACAAUGGCGCAUACAAAGAGAAGCGACCUCGCGAGAGCAAGCGGACCUCAUAAAGUGCGUCGUAGUCCGGAUUGGAGUCUGCAACUCGACUCCAUGAAGUCGGAAUCGCUAGUAAUCGUAAAUCAGAAUGUUACGGUGAAUACGUUCCCGGGCCUUGUACACACCGCCCGUCACACCAUGGGAGUGGGUUGCAAAAGAAGUAGAUAGCUUAACCUUCGGGAGGGCGUUUACCACUUUGUGAUUCAUGACUGGGGUGAAGUCGUAACAAGGUAAGCGUAGUGCU
rnacentral:rRNA from 1 species